rnacentral:rRNA from 1 species
GACGAGGGACCUAGCGUUGUUCGGAAUCAUUGGGCGUAAAGCGGGUGUAGGCGGACUUAUAAGUCAGGUGUGAAAUCCCAGGGCUCAACCCUGGAAGUGCACUUGAUACUGUAAGUCUUGAGUGUGGUAGAGGCUAUUAGAAUUCCUGGUGUAGUGGUGAAAUACGUAGAUAUCAGGAGGAAUACCGGAGGCGAAGGCGGAUAGCUGGGCCAACACUGACGCUGGAGACCCGAAAGCGUGGGGAUCAAACAGG